rnacentral:rRNA from 1 species
UACGAAGGGGGCUAGCGUUGUUCGGAAUUACUGGGCGUAAAGCGCGCGCAGGCGGUCCUUCAAGUCAGGGGUGAAAGCCCAGGGCUCAACCCUGGAAUGGCCUUUGAGACUAGAGGACUUGGGUACGGGAGAGGUGAGUGGAAUUCCGAGUGUAGAGGUGAAAUUCGUGGAUAUUCGGAAGAACACCAGUGGCGAAGGCGGCUCACUGGCCCGUUACCGACGCUCAGGCGCGAUAGCGUGGGGAGCAAACAGG